rnacentral:lncRNA from 1 species
UCCCCACUCAGCCAACCACCGAGACCACAACCACCUCCUCCCACCUCAGGAUCCUCCCAGAUCACCAUCGUCAAACCCACACACCUCGCCGAUCUCCGCUGCUCUUCGCUUCCCAACCGGUGCCAACCACCGAGACCAUAGCCAGACCUCUCCUGCUCCUUUCCUUCUCCUUCCCUGCCUCUACUCCCUCCUCUCACAUCUCUCUCUUUCUCUCUGUACAGCUGCAACAGGGAGCACGCCAGGCGCCAUGGCCGCCGAAGGAACUCCGCCGCCUCACCGAAUCCACGCCUCCAUCUCUCCCCUGCAUCAAGGUCGCCAUCCCUGCUGGACCUGCAGGACGCCAAGUCCAACACCAUGGGCACCUGCUCUGCCCGAUCCCGCCUCUGUCUCGACUUCGCCGUGCUCCUCCUCUGCCCCGAGCCUCUGCCGUGACCAGCACCGGAGCAGCAGGGCCGCCAGCGCGCCCGUUGCCUCCUCCUCGCGCGCCUGCCGCCCUCGCCUUCUCUCUUCUUCCCCUUUUUCGUUCGGCUUCUUUGAUUAAAUCUCUCUCUCUCUCCCUGUCCUUGCCUCGAACAGGAGCACCAGCCGGCGCAACCAUCAUCGGAGAUGGGCUCCCGCAGGCCGAAUCCGACGCGGCCCGUGUCCUCGCCCUCGUCCCCGCCUCCAGGGUGCCGCACCGCCCACAGGAGACCACCUGCGUUGUCCGCCAAGUCCCUGCCGCCCCUGCAUCCCCUGCAAUGAGCUGGAGCUCGCCCGAUGCCACCUCGCCUCCCUGACCCGAUUGGACACCAGAUCCGGCCAUCUCCGACGCAUACCCGCCGGUUCCCGUCGCCAGAACCUCCCCGGCGCCUGUGUCGCCCUGAACCUGUCGCUACAGUUUUCCUUCAGAACGAGAAGAGCAACUCACCGCCCCGCUCGACUGGAUUGACCGCACCUCCAUGCGCCUGGGAUGCCUCCUCUUUGUUCGUUGACCGAGGCCCAGUCCCCACCUCCAUACAUCUAGGCCUUUGGCCCAUGGUGAGCAGCACCCGAGCCCCUGUGCAAUGUUGGGUCGUCCUCUGUUUCGGCCCAUAGGUUUUUUUUUCUUUGUGCGAUUUUAUCAUUUUCGAGAGAUUGUGGUUUUUACAGAAAAGCCCCUGUUCUUCAUGCAUUUAAUAACUUCACAACCGUGCAUCGGAUCUAAAUAAAUUAUAUAUGAAAGUUGCUUAGAAUUUUGUCUAGUUUAAUAAUAUGCAACUUUCAUUCAUGUUUGAAAUGUUUAAAAUGAUGUUUGAUUAAAUUUGCUCCUAUGUCAUGUUAAAAUGCUUUAAUUCAUAACUAAAUAAUCGUAGCUCCAAACUUAACAAACUUUAUAUGUAAAUGGGGUUGAAAAAUGCCUAGUUUAACAUGGUGGCAUCACUUCGCAUGUUUAACAACCCUAAAAUUGUGUUUAGGGCAGAACAGUACCAAACCUAAUAUUUGCAUAUGGGGAUUUACCGGAAUUGUUGUUCGUUGCUUCCGGCCUCAUUUAAACUUGCCUAGGUAGAUAGUUUCAUUAUGCUUCACCUCUUGCCAUGCUAACAGCAUUUAAUCUUGUUGGGUACAUAACCGAGAGAGAACUAAAUUAAUGAAUGUGGUGUUUCGUCAAUAUGCAACGAGCAACUCGUUGCAUAUUGAUCUCCACUUAAUUUGUAGAAUUGCUUGUGCACUUUGCCAUGCCAUGCUUCAUUAAACCGGACAUGCAUCAUACUUGAUUGUGCAUCAUGCCAUGUUUAUGUGGUGGAUGUUUUACUAUGUUGUUUGCUUCUUUCCGGUGUUGCUUCUUCGGGUUGGUUCCAAUAACGUCGUGUGUGUGAGGAUCCGUUUGUCUAUGUCCAUUUGUCUUCUUCAUGGACUCGUUCUUCUUCCUUGCGGGAUCUCAGGCAAGAUGACCAUACCCUCGAAAUCACUUCUAUCUUUGCUUGCUAGUUGCUCGCUCUUUUGCUAUGCCUAUGAUGUGAUACCUACCACUUGCUUAUCAUGCCUCCCAUAUUGUUGAACCAAGCCUCUAACCCACCUUGUCCUAGCAAACCGUUGUCUGGCUAUGUUACCACUUUGCUCAGCCCCUCUUAUAGUAUUGUUAGUUCCAGGUGAAGAUUGAAGCUUGUUCCAUGUUUGGAACAUGGAUAUUCUUGUUGGGAUAUCACACUAUCUCUUAUUUAAUUAAUGCAUCUAUAUACUUGGUAAAGGGUGGAAGGCUCGGCCUUAUGCCUGGUGUUUUGUUCCACAAUUGUCGCCCUAGUUUCCAUCAUAUCAGUGUUAAGUUACCGGAUUUUGCGUUCCUUACGCGGUUGGGUUAUAAUGGGAACCCCUUGACAGUUCGCCUUGAAUAAAACUCCUCCAGCAAUGCCCAACAUUGGUUUUACCAUUCGCCACCUAGCCUUUUUUCCCUUGGGUUCUGCAGACUCAAGGGUCAUCUUUAUUUAAACCCCCCCUGGGGCCAGUGCUCCUCUGAGUGUUGGUCCAAACAAAGCCACUUGCAGCGCCACCUCGGGGAAACUCGAGGGCUGGUUUUAGUUGUACGUAGUGCUCAUCUGAGUGUGCCCUGAGAACGAGAUAUGUGCAGCUCCUAUCGGGAUUUGUCGGCACAUUUGGGCGGUGUUGCUGGACUUGUUUUACCAUUGUCCAAAUGUCUUGUAACCGGGAUUCCGGGUCUGAUCGGGUCUUCCCACUAGAAGGAAUAUCCUUCGUUGACCGUUAGAGCUUGUGAUGGGCUAAGUUGGGACACCCCUGCAGGGUUUUGGACUUUCGACAGCCGUGCCCGCGGUUAUGGGCAGAUGGGAAUUUGUGAAUGUCCGGUUGUAGAAAACCUGAAGUUGACCUUAAUUAAAAUACAUCAACCGCGUGUGUAACCGUGAUGGUCUCUUUCCAGCGGAGUCCGGGAAGUGAACACGGUGUUGGAGUUAUGCUUGACGUAGGUUGUUUUAGGAUCACUUCUUGAUUAUAGUUGUUCGACCGUGCUUUUGCCUUCCCUUCUCGCUCUCAUUUUCGUAUGUUAGCCACCAUAUAUGCUAGUCGCUUGCUGCAGCUCCACCUCAUACCUUUUACCUUACCUAUGAGCUUAAAUAGUCUUGAUCGCGAGGGUGUGAGAUUGCUGAGUCCCGGUGACUCGCAGAUACUUCCAAAACCAGUUUGCAGGUGCCGAUGUUACCGAGCAGGUGACGCAACCAAGCUCAAGGAGGAGCUCGAUGAAGAUCUUGUCCUUUAUGUUGAUCCGCUUCCAGUUGAUCAGUAGUGGAGCCCAGUUGGGGUCGAUCGGGGAUCUGUGUAGCUUUUGGGGUAGUCUUUUUUAUUUUGGUUCCGUAGUCGGACCUUGAUUGUAUCUGGUUGAUGUAAUGCUUUAUUCAUGUAUUUGUGUGAAGUGGCGAUUGUAAGCCAACUAUGUAUCUCUUUCCCUUAUGUAUUACAUGGGUUGUGUGAAGAUUACCUCACUUGCGACAUUGCUUUCAAUGCGGUUAUGCCUCUAAGUCGUCCUUCGACACGUGGGAGAUAUAGCCGCAUUGAGGGCGUUAUAAGUUGGUAAUCAGAGCCUUCCCCGACCUUAGGAGCCCCCUGCUUGAUCGAAUCGCUGGCGUUAUUGAGUCUAGAAAUGUUUUGAGUCAUUUAGGAUUAUAUAUAUCGGAGAGUUAGGAAUUCUUCUUACUCCUCAGUCCCUUCGUCGCUCUGGUGAGGCAUCCUGACGUAGAGUUUUGACUCUUCUCUUCUGAAAUUUCACUAAAAAAAAUUUAGGAUCACACGGGUAUCUUGGAAUCGUUCCGAUGGUUUUGUGACGAGAACAUUGUUCUUGGUGCCUCCUGUCAUUUAGGGGAUGUGGCAGUGUCCCGGGGAGUUGAGCUCCGAGGUGUUGUCGUCACAAUUUUAUCGUUGCAGUUCUGGAAUACCUGAGUUUAGGUUCGCCGACAUCGAAAAUCUCUUUUAUGUAGUUGUUGGUGAGAUAACCUCGACGCCAGCCAGUACUGAGUUCGGGAGUAUUGCCAUAACUCGUAUGACAGAUGCUUUUCGAAGGUUGACAUAAAUGAUUUCUGAAGGUUUCUUGGUUAUGUGUUGAAGGAUGGAUACAACUGGAUGUAGGAUUUGCUAGUUUUGGGUGAGAUAUUAUGCUUCCCCUGUAUCCCCAACACCUGAUUGCAUAACCGGAAAAUUUCGGGAGUUUAUAAGUGGGAAUUCAAGUAGCUCUUAGGAUAUCUUUCCGACAGAUGUAUGAUAUGAAAUUGGGGUUCGACGUCUAGUGGUCCGCCUAUCCACGGUUGGUUUUACAGUGGUCUCAUUGUGUCUUAAAGAGUCCUUGGCUAUGCCGACUCGGGGACGCUUCGUAUGUCAUGUGCACUGCCUUGUACACGAUGGUGCUAUACGAUCGAGCCCAUGUAGGCCCCACCACAAAAACUUCGGACGAAAUCUCUAUCAUAUGUUUGUUCCGGCUUAUUCUGCAAGCCAAUCCUUUGUUUUUGUUUUGAGUUGUGGUAUUCGAGUUGCUUCGAAGUCAAAUGUGGAUUCCAUACCUUCUCUAAAUGGUGUUCUCAUACUCCGAUGUGAAUACUAAUCCUUCUUGAUAAUCGAGAUUGUCAUGUCAAUCCUUUUUCACUAGCGUGUUUCUCUUCAAGUGGAUCCGAUCACUUCAACAUUCGCAAGAUCAAGUAUCAGUUCUUCUCAACGGUGUUUGUUUCAUCCGUCUCUAAGUUGCCUUUGUUUUUCCCACCCACCCACCCUUUUUCCUCAAGGACUCGGAUUUCUUAAUCAAGUAUCCUUUUAUUCAUGUGAAGUCUCUCCAUUCCUUUUCCGUCAAUGUUCUUACCCGACGAUUCUCAUGAAGAUUCUAAUGGAGCUUCAAGCUCAUCAUUCUCGGUUUUCUUUCUUCUCUGGUUGGUUCAAUUCAAGCGUUGGUUUUGACCAUAGUCCUUCCGUUUUGCCCAAUACCUUCUCUUGUCGGUGCACCUCUAAAUCAUUAACUUUUCGUUAUUCAUUUGUUCCGGAGUGCUUAAGAUAUCUCGAAGAUUCAUGUAUCCACUCUUCUUUCAUUCAAGCUAUUUCGAGGAUGUUAUAUCAUUCAAGCAUUUUUAUUCAACCGGUGCAUUCUCCUUUUCAAGUAAUCUUUUCAACGGUGUUUCUUCUGAGUGGGCCCUAACCCACAGGUCUUUUCCCAGGAUCUUACCGGACUCUUCUUAUUUUCUCGGAGCUAUCCGUAAAAAUUCUUUUCGAAGUUUGACGUAAGAAUGGAUUAUCAUCAGUCUCAUGUUUUUCUCCAAGAUCUGUCGAAUUCUUUUCAUCGUUGGAUCAACCUCUUCGUUGUGAUACUUCCGGAGUGUCUGAAUAAUUCAUGGUGGUGUUUCUCGUUGUAAUUCUUAGAUUAUGAAGACCGAAGAGGAAUUUUCUCUUAAUCUUGCUCCAUUCUCUUCAAGAUUCGUGGUUCUAGUUCAAGGCCAUCCUCUCAUAAUUGUUUUCGAUUGUCAAGAUUCUUUUCACCCACCCGGAGUAAUCCAGAGUAUUUUCAGUUUGAUUCUCCGGAGCCCAUCAUCUCAUAAGUAUUCAUUCUCAGCUUUCAGCUCUCUUUCUCUAAAUCUUACCGGUGCAUAGUUCAAGUGAUCUCUAAUCAGUUCAUGAUCUCUUCGUUCUCAUGUAUCUAGAUUGUCUCAAGUAUGUUUGUUCAUUUGCUUAUUCUUACCGGUGAUUCAUCCUUUUAUUUCAUUCGUUGUUUCAUCCUACCGGUGGUUCGUUGAAGACCUUCUCAAGUUAUGCUAUAUCUAUCUUAAUCCUUUUUACGGGGAUAAGUAGUGUGCCAAAUCCAUUGUUUGUCAUCAGUUUAAUUGAUGAAGGACAAUCAUAAUGUAAUUCUUAUUCUUGUUUCAUCCUAAUGAUUAAUUCUUUAUUCCGGAGGCCCUUCAAAUUCUCGGUUUCAUUUGUUUCAUCUUCUCUUUUUCCUGGAGUUCCAACCUCUUUCAAUUAUAUUAUCACGGAGAUCUCUAUCUAAAUCAUUGCGAGGCUUCAAUCUUAUUAUUUCCAUCAUUCAAUUAUUUUGGAUCAUUCUUUUAUUACCGGAGUUCUUCAUGAAGGUUCUACAUGAUGGAUUCAUCAAGGAUUUAAUUCCUUCUCGAAGUGUUCAUCGACAUUCUUUGCUAAGAAGCUCAAGUUUUUCUUCAUCUUGCUAUCCGGAGUGCAAUUCUUUCUUCCGAAUCAUUGGAGGUGGUAUUAUGUCAUUCUUGAUAAUUUGAGUUCAUGUUUCAUGAUUCACAUGUUAUUAAGAAUGAGGUAUUUUAAAUCCAUCAAUAUUGUCAUUGGAGUUACCUUGGGUUAUAUUUCACCUAAAGCUUUCCCUAAGGAUUGUUGUUAUCUAUGGUGCUUAUAAAUGAUCCAAUUUCUUCAUUUAUCCUUUCUGGUGCGACAUACUUUCUCGUCAAUUUGUUCAUAUAAAUCCAAUUCUUUUUCCGUGAGUGGCAGGUUGUCACCUCAUAAUUUGAGGUGUAUUCCAUAAGACCAUAUCAAGCUUAUCCUUUUCAUUGUUGGUUUUCCAACAAUUCCGUUCAACCCUUCUUUUAAGGAUGCUUUUCCAAAUUCUAUUGUGGUAGAAGAUGUCUUUUUCCUCUCAAUUCUUUCCUUUCCAAGAGCCAACUUCUAUUCUUUCUCCCGGAGGUCUAGUGAUGUUGCUCUUUUCACUCCUCAUCUCGGUUUGUCAAGAUCAUGUUCAAUUUCUUCCAUUUACAGUCAAAGUGCUGUCCAAAUUAUAUCAGUCUCUUUCCUUCUCUAUCUUGUUUAACCGGAGUGUUGUGCCCGUUUGCUCAAAUCCUUUUCAUCCUAUCAAGUCUUGUAUCUCUUUUCAACCGGAGUGCUAUAAGAAAUUGUUCUUCCUUGUUCCUCUUUACUAACGGGGUGUUUUCAACUUCGUUCAUCUCCGUUGUAUUCUUUCUUUCAAUUUGUUCAACUUUUCAAGGUUUCUUGGUUUCACUCGUUUGUCAAAGAAGCAACUUAGUUUUACCUCUCCUCUUUCUCUUCCGUUGUCCCUCCGGUGCCAUUCUAGAUCUCGGGACGAGAUCCUCUCAUAGUGGUGGAGUGUUGUAACGCCCCGAGACCGAUGUGCCAGGUGUCCUCCAGUUAUUCGCUGUUGUUGCCUUGUCUUUGCUUGCGUGUCAUGCAUUUCAUAUCAUGUCAUCAUGUGCAUUGCAUCAUCAGGUUUUCAAAACUUGCAUCCGUCCCGGUCUCCCCGUUCUUUCCGUUACCCGUUCUGAGCCCAGACACACUUGCACGCGCCCGCGGCACGUCCGAAAUAGUAUUUUAUAAGUGUCUGGAAAAUGUUCUCAGAAUGGGAUGAAAGUUGGCGUGCGGUGUUUUUAUGUUGUAGGUAGGCCGCCUGUCAAUUUUCGUCGCAUUCGGAGUUUGUUUGACGCCCCAACGGUUAACUAUAGCGGCAGUAUAGCCGGUCUAACGUCGGACGUUUUCGGUCUCCGGAAACAGUCGCCGGGCCUCCCUCUCUUCUCUUCUCUCAGCUCGAGACCGUCUAUACAGCUCACUACCUACCGCCAGGUCCAAUCUAACCUCUUUCAUCAGCCCGCAGCCCACCUCGCGCGCGUCCGAAAGUUGUCCCGAACCUGACCCGGACUGUCGCCACCUUUGUGUCCGGAUCAUCCCCAAACGUCUACAAAAUGUCUCCGUUUUGUUAAUUGGGCUUCCUAACCUAUAUUUUUCUCGACCGCCCGAUAACGAUCGGAUGGACCGUAUAGCCCCUAAACUUAAUCCCACCGAUAUAUAUAAGAGGACCAAACCCUAAAAUCUAUGGAGAUGUCCCAUCCAUCAAAUCCUCCGCCGCCACCACUGUUUUUCUCCCACCUCGGGAUCCCCUUCGCACCAACCACACACUACCUCUCAAUCCCCACUCAGCCAACCACCGAGACCACAACCACCUCCUCCCACCUCAGGAUCCUCCCAGAUCACCAUCGUCAAACCCACACACCUCGCCGAUCUCCGCUGCUCUUCGCUUCCCAACCGGUGCCAGCCACCGAGACCAUAGCCAGACCUCUCCUGCUCCUUUCCUUAUCCUUCCCUGCCUCUACUCCCUCCUCUCACAUCUCUCUCUUUCUCUCUGUACAGCUGCAACAGGGAGCAUGCCAGGCGCCAUGGCCACCGAAGGAACUCCACCGCCUCACCGAAUCCACGCCUCCAUCUCUCCCCUGCAUCAAGGUCGCCAUCCCUGCUGGACCUGCAGGACGCCAAGUCCAACGCCAUGGGCACCUCCUCUGCCCGAUCCCGCCUCUGUCUCGACUUCGCCGUGCUCCUCCUCUGCCCCGAGCCUCUGCCGUGACCAGCACCGGAGCAGCAGGGCCGCCAGCGCGCCCGUUGCAUCCUCCUCACGCGCCUGCCGCCCUCGCCUUCUCUCUUCUUCCCCUUUUUCGUUCGGCUUCUUUGAUUAACUCUCUCUCUCCCUGUCCUUGCCUCAAACAGGAGCACCAGCCGGUGCCACCAUCAUCGGAGAUGGGCUCCCGCCGGCCGAAUCCGACGUGGCCCGUGUCCUCGGCCUCGUUCCCGCCUCCAGGGCACCGCGCCGCCCACAAGAGACCACCUGCGCUGUCCGCCAAGUCCCUGCCGCCCCUGCAUCCCCUGCAACGAGCUGGAGCUCGCCCGAUGCCACCUCGCCUCCCUGACCCGAUUGGACACCAGAUCCGGCCAUCUCCGAUGCAUACCCGCCGGUUCCCGUCGACCCCGUCGCCAGAACCUCCCCGGCGCUUGCGUCGCCCUGAACCUGUCGCUGCAGGUUUCCUUCAGAAUGAGAAGAGCAGCUCACCACCCCGCUCGACCGGAUUGACCGCACCUCCACGCGCCUGGGCUGCCUCCUCUUCGUUUGUUGACCGAGGCCCAGUCCCCACCUCCACAGAUCUGGGCCUUUGGCCCAUGGUGAGCAGCACCCGAGCCCCUAUGCAAUGUUGGGCCGGCCUCUGUUUCGGCCCAUAGUUUUUUUUCCUUUGUGCGAUUUUAUCAUUUUCCAGAGACUGUGGUUUUUAAAGAAAAGCCCAUGUUCUUCAUGCAUUUAAUAACUUCACAACCGUGCAUCGGAUCUAAAUAAAUUAUAUAUGAAAGUUGCUUAUAAUUUUGUCUAGUUUAAUAAUAUGCAACUUUCAUCCAUGUUUGAAAUGUUUAAAAUGAUGUUUGAUUAAAUUUGCUCCUAUGUCAUGUUAAAAUGCUUUAAUUCAUAACUAAAUAACCGUAGCUCCAAACUUAAUUAACUUUAUAUGUAAAUGGGGUAUAAAAAUGCCUAGUUUAACAUGGUGACAUCACUUCGCAUGUUUAACAACCCUAAAAUUGUGUUUAGGGCAGAACAGUACCAAACCUAAUAUUUGCAUAUGGGGAUUUACCGGAAUUGUUGUUCGUUGCUUCUGGCCUCAUUUAAACUUGCCUAGGUAGAUAGUUUCAUUAUGCUUCACCUCUUGCCAUGCUAACAGCAUUUAAUCUUGUUGGGUACAUAACCGAGAGAGAACUAAAUUAAUGAAUGUGGUGUUUCGUCAAUAUGCAACUCGUUGCAUAUUGAUCU